CAGUCGUACCGGCGGAUAAUCAGCCUUUCGGGUGCGAUUCUGUGGGGCGUGAGGAGCUUAACCGCCUUCAUGUUUUGCAUAUUCGUGCACUUUGGGUGUACUUGCCCGUGUGUAAGUUAACAUCAAUUUUGGUGGUCAUAAAAUGGCUGGAGGAAUGUAGCUUCGAUCUCGUAUUGAAGUGUUAUAGCCUUUGGUAGACGUGAUGAUUGGGGAUUGAGGAUUGCAACGGAUACCCUUGGGCUACCUGUCUGAUCUCUGGAAGUUGCUCUGGUGCUGAAAGCUUGCUUAUGGUAUCAAAGUUGACGUCUAAUAGGUUAGAA
rnacentral:rRNA from 1 species